UACAGAGGGUGCGAGCGUUAAUCGGAAUUACUGGGCGUAAAGCGUGCGUAGACGGUUAUUUAAGUCGGGUGUGAAAGCCCCGGGCUCAACCUGGGAAUUGCAUUCGAGACUGAAUAGCUAGGGUACGGUAGAGGGAAGUGGAAUUUCCGGUGUAGCGGUGAAAUGCGUAGAUAUCGGAAGGAACAUCAGUGGCGAAAGCGACUUCCUGGACCAGUACCGACGUCAGGCACGAAAGCGUGGGGAGCAAACAGGA
rnacentral:rRNA from 1 species